rnacentral:rRNA from 1 species
AUGGACACCGCCAUAGGCGCGGCCAAGUGGGUGCUGGGCAAGGCACUGGCCCCGGUCACAGAUGGCUUGCUAGAGUCCUGGGCGGCUAGUGCCGAUCUAGAUCGCAACAUCGACGCCCUCAAGAUGGAGCUACUGUAUGCACAUGGGAUGCUCGAGAACGUGCAGGGCAGGGGCAUCCAUGGCGUCGCGCUCAAGGAGCUCCUGCACAAGCUGCAGCAGCUCGCGUACGGGGCUGAUGAUGUGCUGGAUGAGCUGGAGUACUUCCGCAUCCAGGACUCACUUAAAGGAACCUACCAUGCCGCCGGUGUGAACGAUGUGUGUUGCAUCCAAGGCAUCCGCACCAAUAUUGAACACACGGCGAGACAUGCCAUCAGCAAACUCAAGUGCCUCCCGUGCUUGGGUGCUGCUAGCCGUGGUGGUGACCAAGAAAUUGAUCCAGGUGAUCACCAAGAUUAUGACCUCUUAGGCAUACGCUUGCGUGGCAGGCGGGGCAUCGGCUCCUCGCCAUUGACACCCACCAACAAGGCAGGUGUCAAUAAAGUUGAUGGUGGAUGCAUGCCCAGGGUCAUCUCAAGUGCUCGCAACGCUGCCCACACUUUCGGUAAACACUUUCCAUGCUAUUCUUCCAUAUCUGUCCAUGGUGAUGGUGCUCAAGCUAUCAUGUCUGAGUGUGCAAGCGAGAGAGAUAUAGAAACAAAAGAAUUGAUGUUUGAUAGGGUGCAAAUGUCUCGAACAAUGAUUGACAUGGUAGGGCAGCUGAAGGAAGUAUGUGCUAAGGUCUCCAUAAUUCUUAAUCUAGAUUUGUUGGGAUCCAGCCACAACCGUACCCAAGAAAUUGCUAUAAAAAGAUCAAAAACCACAUCAGAGAUUAUAGAAUAUGAGUUAUAUGGGAGGGAUGACCAAAAAAGGAAAAUUAAAAAUGGCAUUAUUAGUCAUGAGUACUGUCCCAAACAACUUAACGUGCUUCCAAUUUUCGGACCAGGGGGUAUUGGAAAAACAACUUUUACGCAACACAUAUGCCAAGAAGUGAAUAGCUCUUUCCAGGCUUCAAUUUGGAUUUGUGUCUCUCUCGAUUUCAAUGCAGAUAGGUUGGCACAAGAGAUAGUCAACAAAAUCGAUAGAGUUGAUGAUGAAAAGCAGAAUGCUAGUGUUGAAGAACUUAUCAAACAAAGAUUAAAAGCUAAGAGAUUUUUACUCGUCUUGGAUGAUGUGUGGGUAUAUCAAGAGGAUGAGUGGGAAAAACUAAUGGCACCUUUCAGAAAGGUAGAGUCCAAGGGUAAUUUGAUUGUAGUCACAACUCGAAUACCAAAGGUAGCAGAAAUGGUUAGGACAACCAAUCAUAAAAUAGAACUGGAAAGACUGGGUGAUGCAGAUACCAUGCGUUUCUUUGAAGCAUGUGUAUUUGGUAACGAGCUACAACCAUGGGAAAAACAUUAUGAAUUAUCUGAGACUGGUCGUGAAGUAGUGCGCCAUUUGAAAGGUUCCCCUCUUGCAACUAAAACUGUAGGCAGAUUACUAAGAAAUCAACUUACUUUGGACCAUUGGGAAAGAAUACUAGAAAGCAAAGAAUGGGAACUAGAAACCAGUGAGAGUGACAUCAUGCCAGCCCUCAAACUUAGCUUUGAUUUUCUCCCUUUCCAUCUAAAACAGUUGUUUGUAUAUUGUGCUUUGUUUCCUUAA